CAGCAGCCGCGGUAAUCCGUAGGGUGCGAGCGUUAAUCGGAAUUACUGGGCGUAAAGCGUGCGCAGGCGGUUUUGUAAGAUAGGCGUGAAAUCCCCGGGCUCAACCUGGGAAUGGCGCUUGUGACUGCAAAGCUAGAGUGCGGCAGAGGGGGAUGGAAUUCCGCGUGUAGCAGUGAAAUGCGUAGAUAUGCGGAGGAACACCGAUGGCGAAGGCAAUCCCCUGGGCCUGAACUGACGCUCAUGCACGAAAGCGUGGGGAGCAAACAGGAUUAGAUACCCCUGUAGUCCCUGUCUCUUAUAC
rnacentral:rRNA from 1 species